CGUAACUGGGCCUCUUCGAGCUCAGCCAGCCCACGCCGCUGCGCUCUCCAGCGGAUCGCUCCGCCGCCGCCGGGACCCCGGCCCCGGCUCCGGUGCUGCCUCGGUGCGUCCACUGCUACGGCGCGCCUCCCCGAAUCGCCAGGCUGCAUCCAAGCGACCGGCCGUGCUCCAGCCUCCGCCUUCACCUCCCGUCCGGCCGGCCUGUCCCCUAACUUCGAAGCAGAGGUCCGCCGUAAAUGAAGGCAGGUUUAGCAGAAGGAGAUGGCUUCAGGCAUUGCAUCAUGCUUUUCCAGGGUUUUCUCCUCGAGCUGACUGCAGCCAACGGGCUUCUGAAAACGAUGAAAGCUUUUUUUUUAUGGCCUAGAGGCUGGAGAUGGUGUUGCUGGAUCAGUGGCUGAAACGUACCUGGAGCAGCAUAGCCAAUUGUUCCUCUCAUUCUAGCCCAAGCACUUGAUUUCUCAGAAGUGUCAUUGGAGUCUUCAUGGUAGAACCGUGCCAGCCCGAAAUCACCAACAUGAGCAACCAUGUCAUCAUUGAGGAGAAUAUUACUAGGCUUGAUAUCACAGUGGAUAAUUGGCAAUGGCUUGUGCUGGUGUAGAUAUUCAAGCGCAGAGGCCACAUCAAUAGAAAUGUCUAGUCUUUUGACAAGGUCAAGCACCUUGUAUUCACCAUCUUCCUCAACUGACUGAUGUAGCCACCGCUCUAGAUUCCCAUUUGGCAAGAACUCAAAUACAAGGGCUUUGAAGUCAAUGCCUCUUAAGUCCACACUUGAGCAGACUGUUAAGAUCUUCACAAGAUUGCGAUGUCUAACACAUCUCAAAGUCUCACAUUCUGCGGCAAAACUUUGAGAUGCCCCAUGUUGUUGGAGAUUCAACACCUUGACAGCAACUGUCACUUGAAGUUCUUCGAUCAUAAUCUUUCCCUUGAAUACCGAGCCAAAGCUCCCUGUUCCAAUGAGGUUCCCUGAAGAGAAGCUAUCUGUUGCACUGGAUAAUUCAGCAUAAGAAACCCUCACAUGGUGCUCGCUGAUUGUUGAUGUUUGGUGGUUAUCCUUUUUCUUCUUGUUCCAGUGGAAGAAUAUCAACAUCAGACAUAUGACAAACAGACAUGUGCUGCCUACAGAUACUGCUACAAUAAGCCUGAAAUAUGGCCUCUUGGUGGUGUGGGUGGUGCAAGGUGGCAGCUUCAACUGAGGGACGCCACCACAUAGGCCAUCAUUUGCUAUAAUUGUGGUAGAAGAUGCAUUGCUGAAAAUUCCAUCCUCUGGAACUUGACCUUUAAAGUUAUUGAAUGAGAUAUUGAAAAUAGAGAGACCUCUCAUCUUAGCAAAGAACUCAGGUAUGUUGCCAGACAAAUUGUUGUGGGAAAGAUCUACCACCAAAAGUCCUUUCAUCUGCUCCAGUGAUAGGGGAAUUGUCCCUUCAAGGUUGUUAUGUGAUGCAUUGAGAUACUGCAAUGAUUGGCACGCUCCAAGUGAGCCUGGAAUCUCUCCAUAAAUCUGAUUACCUGAGAAAUCAAGUUCCCCAAGAUUCUUGAGAUUACCGACUUCUAUAGGCAAAAUACCGGUUAAUAGAUUGCUUUGGAUGUCCAUAAAGUCAGACAAUGUGCUGAUAAGGAAAAGUUCUUUUGGUAUUGGACCUUCAAGUUUGUUGUGUGAAAGGUCUAAUCUUUGUAAAGGACAUCCAUUAAGACUAGAAGGUAUGCUUCCAUUAAGCAUGUUACCAUCGAGAUCUAGGGUGAGUAGUUUUGUAAGAUUGCCAAUGGUUGUAGGGAUCGAUCCUGAUAGGUCAUUCAUUUGUAGGUAUAAUUCAUUCAGUCCCUGUAGUCUUCCAAGAGAGCUAGGAAUGUUGCCCUCUAGAUGAUUGCCAGAUAGACUAAGCAUGUUUAUACCCACCAAGGAUGCUAAUUCUUCAGUAAUCUUUCCUGUUAUGUUAUUGAAGCGCAGGCUAAGACGCUGCAGAUUUCUAGAGAGGUUGCCUACUGAAUUUGGUAUCUCACCUUCCAACCUGUUAUAACUCAAAUCCAACAAUUGCAGAUCACUACAAUUGGCCAGGCUAGCCAAGAAACCCCAAUCAGCAUCUUGUGUUGCUUGGAUCUGAUUUUUUGCCAGGACCAAUGAAGACAAUCUCUUUAAAUGAGUUCCUAGGCAACUAGGAAUUGUUCCAGUUAGUAAGUUUUGCGCAGCUUCAAACAUCUGAAGCAUAGAGGAAUUGCACAAGAAGGUGGGAAUGGGACCGUGGAAUUGAUUAUAGUCUAUCAGGAAUUUCUCUAGAUGUGGAAGUCUAUUACCGUUGUCUGGUGGAAAAGAUCCAUUGAGGUAAUUAUUUCCUUGUACAGUAAAAAGCUCCAGGUAGGAAAGAUUGAACAAUGCUGGAGGUAACGGACCUUCUAGUUCAUUAUUAUCUAGGUCAAGUGUUUUUAGGAAGAGUAGGUUUCCAAUGGAAUUAGGUAUAGAACCUGUAAAAUUGUUGAAUGGAAGGCUAAGGCUUUCAAGUAUAUUUAGGUUCCCAAGUGAUUCUGGAAUGCUUCCAGUCAGAUAGUUUGCCCGAAGAUCUAAUAUUACUAAUGAUGUGAGAUUUCCUAAUUGAGAAGGGAUGCAUCCUGUCAGGUCAUUAGUUCCUAAUGCAAGCACUGUGAGAAAUGAUAGAUUCUGUAAUGGUGGAAUGCUACCUGUUAGAUUAUUUGUAUGCAGAAUAAGAACAGUUAAUGAUGAGAGAUUUCCUAGUGAUAUUGGGACAGAACCCCUCAGUUGAUUGGUACUUAGUGAGAACUUGCUUAGUUUAACAAGGUUACCUAUCUCAGUUGGUAUCUCUCCUGUUAGAUCGUUGUGUGCAAUAUACAGAAUCUCCAGGUUCGCAAGGUUUCCUAGUGAAGUUGGGAUAGAACCUGUAAGCUUGUUGUAGCUAACAUUGAGUACCUUGAGAUUGUGCAUGGACCCGAGUUCAUGUGGUAUCUCACCCUCGAGCAUGUUUUGGAAGAGCACAAUUGACUCUAGGUUUGACAAGGCGGCGAGCUCCCGAGGUAUCUUCCCUUGCAGGUUGUUACCUGGGAGGUGCAGCCUCCUCAAGAACGUCAAGUUGGCUACCGAAGAGGAGAUAGCUCCUGCAAGGCUCAGAUUUUCGAGCUCCAACUCUGUGACACGGCCACGACGGCUUCCCCGACUACCACAUGUCACGCCGCGCCAUUGACACAGAGGGAUAGAGUUGUUUCCCCAUGAUACCAGAGCUUGCGAUGGAUCUAACCUAAUGAGUGACUUGAAGAACAGCAGAGCAAGGUGGUCAGUGGCAAUAUUUGUGGCAAUUCCAGAUGACAAGGCUGAAUUUGUGCUAGCAACAAGUGAAAGGAAAAGGGGAACCAACAGGAAAGACCCAGCACCCACCAUUGCUUUGGGACUGCUGUGAUAUUUUCUGGUUACUGCAUGUUUUAUGUGUGAUGUGUUUCCUUCCAUGCAUAUAUGAAGCCACUGGAAAGCCUGCGAACAAUAUUUAAGGUACUAGCUUUCAUAUCUUUCUGCACGCAUCCAUUGUGGGGACGUUCUCCCAAUAUUUUGUAGUCCUGGAGUAUGCGGGAAUGAUAUACGUAGGUGAGUACCAUGCUUGCCUUCAAUUGCAUGCAAUGCAACUCUGAAGUCUGAACCUCUCAGAGCAUCUCCAACUUGCACAGUGAGCACCAAAAAAUUGAUUCUCUUGAAGUGUGGAGGCAACCGGGUCUUACUCCAAACUUGUCAAUUGGACAGAGUCAGCCUACGAAAUUUGUUUGUCCUUCCUGCGUGCCUUUGCUUUCCGUUAAUGUUGAUCACAAUUUGUUGACAAUAAUGUGUCCACUUGAUCUGCAACUGCAAAUGUCACUUUCAUGUAUUUAUGAGGGCCGAAAUUUUCUUCAUGCCUGCCGUCUCCAGUUGAUGGAUAGCGGCCAAAUCUUUCUUUUGACUAACCUUGCGCUGGCCAGCUGACCAGGGGGAAGAGUGAGGACCAGUCAGACAAGAACUGUGACUCCAGAGAAAACAGAGUAUAUGGGGCAGAGAAGAGGGGAGGAAGAAGGGCAAAGUCUUCUUUUGCCGACAGGCUUCUCUCGUUUAGAGAUAUAACAGUCGCACAGGAUUUGCAGAAGUUGUAAGCAGUGCCAAAGGGAUCAGAAAAAUUUCAAUUACUUGUAGUGGCUUAUGUGGAAUUCUCUCUAAGAAAUGUAUUUAGACAGAUUCCACCCAUUUAUUUACUUGUUUAAUACAACAUGUUGCAUCUGUUUCCUGAAAUGUAUUCUAAUAAUGCUGAUGUAAUUUUGAUUUGACUAAAAUAGUUGUACCCUUGGCAUGAUAAAAUCUAUUUUUCCA